rnacentral:rRNA from 1 species
GAUGAACGCUAGCGGCAGGCCUAAUACAUGCAAGUCGAACGGAUAUAUGUUUUUCGGAAUAUAUAUUAGUGGCGCACGGGUGAGUAACACGUACAUAACUUGCCCUCAAGCGGGGGAUAGCCUUGGGAAACUGAGAGUAAUACCCCAUAGAAUUAUUGGACGGCAUCGUUUGAUAAUUAAAACUACGGUGUUUGGGGAUAGAUGUGCGUCUGAUUAGCUAGUUGGUGAGGUAACUGCUCACCAAGGCGACGAUCAGUAGGGGGCGUGAGAGCGUGGCCCCCCACACGGGUACUGAGACACGGACCCGACUCCUACGGGAGGCAGCAGUAAGGAAUAUUGGUCAAUGGACGAAAGUCUGAACCAGCCAUGCCGCGUGGAGGAUGAAGGUCCUCUGGAUUGUAAACUUCUUUUAUAUGGGACGAAAAAGGGUUUUCUAACUCGUCUGACGGUACCAUAUGAAUAAGCACCGGCUAACUCCGUG